rnacentral:rRNA from 1 species
UUUUAGUCGGGCCCGGGACCGGACCGGACGGGUACGGGUCGACGUAACGCGUAGUACGUACACCUUUGACGGGGGGAUAACAUCGAGAAAUUGGUACUAAUACCCCAUAACAUCACCGGAGGCAUCUUCGGUGGUUGAAAACUCAGGUGGUCAGAGAUGGACAUGCGUUGUAUUAGCUAGUUGGUGAGGUAACGGCUCACCAAGGCGACGAUACAUAGGGGGACUGAGAGGUCAACCCCCCACAUUGGUACUGAGACACGGACCAAACUCCUACGGGAGGCAGCAG